rnacentral:tRNA from 1 species
GUGCCCGUAGCUCAGCGGAUUAGAGCGUUGGUUUGCGGAACCAAAGGUCGCGGGUUCAAAUCCCACCGGGCACA